rnacentral:lncRNA from 1 species
UAGAGAGGGAGGAGAGCGGGUUGCACGGCAUCCAAAAAAAAUUUGCUUGCGAUUUGGUUGGCCAAGUACUAUUUCCAAUAUUUGCUCCUCUUUUUGUGCAACAACCUUGGUAUGAGAGAUUCAAAACUUAGGCCCUGUAUAAAUGGAAGGAGGGAGUACUAUGCUUUGUGAUUCUUUUUACUUGAGCUUACAGUCCUUAAUGCUGCUGCAACCAAGAUAUAUUCUGCCCAUUAUAAUCCUUAUAAGCACUUAGACUUAUUGAUCAUUUGAUGAUAUUCUAGUUGCUAAUCUUAGAAAAAAAAAGAAGUAUUUGUUUCUUACCUUGCUUAAUUGAUGUCUCUAGUAUCAUACAGAUAAAACAAAGCAGCAGCAUAUUAUUGAUUGAAAUAUUCUUAUAAACUCACUUUGGAAAUGCUACUGCCUAUUUCCCCAUAAUAUAGAUUUAUUCCUUGUACAUUAAUAACUAUCUCCUAUAUUUCUGGUCAUUCACCUCGGCAUUCAUUUCUUACUUCCUUCAUGAUUGAUUGCAGAUUAGCAUCUUCAUACUGCAGUGCUCCUUUGUACAUAAAAAAAACUUACAGUUCUUCUUAAUUUAAGGUGAAUGCUCCCAACAAUUAGGCCCAGUAGUAUGUCGUCUCUUGAAGUGAAAUCACAUGGGUACUUGGUUAAAUUAUUUAAAAAGGUUUGUGCAAUUCUGCACAUUUCUGAACUGAAGCAUUUGAGCCAAACUGUACAUUCAACUUUUGACCAUAUAACUUCUACUAGUUACCGAAAAUUUAUAUGAUUGUAUUGUAUUGCAUCUAACAACAGCAGUUCAUCAUUCAUCUAUUUAGCAGGCUUUAAUCUACAUUAUGGGGUCUUAUUUUGUGUCAGACUGCUGGUUUGGAGUGCAAGGACGGCGACUAAACUUCACUUCUGUUUGUCCAGGUCACUUGCUUAGCCGUCAUUUGGGUUUUUGACGACAUGUAUGUCUGCCACAUGAAACCUGUUGAUUCGGCAUGUUUAGGUCCUAGAUGGUUUAUAUACCUUAUUAAAAGCUGCUAUAAGUCAUGUCUUCUGUGUAUGUAGUUGUCCUGCUAUUGGCUAAGCUUUUCCUAGAACCAUCAGCUAAUGUUUGAGCGUACAUGGAAUUCUAGCGCUGCUAUUGCAUUAAUUUUCAACAUUGCUGCAGUGUUGCGUCAAAGUGUUCAUCAGAGAUUGGUAUGUUUCAGAACAUCACUGUGUUUGCUGCUCUUUUUGUGCUCCCUGGUAUAUAUUCUUUUUGCAAGCAAGAGCUCCCUGACAUGUCAUUUACAUUUGUUAUUGUCUAUCAUGUGUUGAUCACAUUUCAUUUCUGGGGUUGACUCAUUUUUUAUACAUCUGAUCAGCUCAUUUCUGCUCUUUUACUGCCACAUGUGUGGUGUAUUCUUUUCCAACAUAGAAUGGUUUUG